rnacentral:rRNA from 1 species
CAGCAGCCGCGGGAAUACGUAGGGCGCAAGCGUUGUCCGGAAUUAUUGGGCGUAAAGAGCUCGUAGGCGGCUUGUCACGUCUGCUGUGAAAUCCCGGGGCUCAACCCCGGGCGUGCAGUGGAUACGGGCUGGCUAGAGGCAGGCAGGGGAGAACGGAAUUCCCGGUGUAGCGGUGAAAUGCGCAGAUAUCGGGAGGAACACCGGUGGCGAGGGCGGUUCUCUGGGCCUGUUCUGACGCUGAGGAGCGAAAGCGUGGGGAGCGAACAGGAUUAGAUACCCGAGUAGUCCCUGUCUCUUAUAC